rnacentral:rRNA from 1 species
AUAUCAAUAAGCGGAGGAAAAGAAACCAACAGGGAUUGCCCUAGUAACGGCGAGUGAAGCGGCAACAGCUCAAAUUUAAAAUCUGGCCCCCUCGGGGUUCGAGUUGUAAUUUGUAGAGGAUGCUUCGGCGUCGGCCCCGGGCUAAGUCCCCUGGAACGAGGCGCCCUAGAGGGUGAGAGCCCCGUACUCACUCGGGUGCCCUUCGCCAUGUGAAGCUCCUUCGACGAGUCGAGUUGUUUGGGAAUGCAGCUCUAAGCGGGAGGUAUAUUUCUUCUAAAGCUAAAUACCGGCCAGAGACCGAUAGCGCACAAGUAGAGUGAUCGAAAGAUGAAAAGUACUUUGGAAAGAGAGUCAAAAAGCACGUGAAAUUGUUGAAAGGGAAGCUCUUGCCGCCAGACUUGCCGCGGUUGCUCAGCCGCCCCCCGGGGCGGUGUACUCUUCCGUCGGCAGGCCAGCGUCGGUUCGGGCGACCGGAUAAAGGCCCUGGGAAUGUAGCACCCUCCGGGGUGUGUUAUAGCCCGGGGUGCAAUGCGGUCAGCCCGGUCCGAGGCACGCGUUCGCGAGGACGCUGGCGUAAUGGCUGCAAGCGACCCGUCUUGAAACACGGACCAAGGAGUCUAACAUCUGUGCGAGUGUUUGGGUCUCAAACUCAUGCGCGUAAUGAAAGUGAACGGAGGUGGGAACCCCCUCGAGGGGCGCACCAUCGACCGAUCCUGAUGUCUUCGGAUGGAUUUGAGUAAGAGCAUAGCUGUUGGGACCCGAAAGAUGGUGAACUAUUCCCGGAUAGGGUGAAGCCAGAGGAAACUCUGGUGGAGGCUCGCAGCGGUUCUGACGUGCAAAUCGAUCGUCAAAUCUAGGAAUAGGGGCGAAAGACUAAUCGAACCAU